rnacentral:rRNA from 1 species
UACAGAGGGGGCAAGCGUUGUUCGGAAUUACUGGGCGUAAAGGGCGCGUAGGCGGCCUUCUAAGUCGAACGUGAAAUCCCUGGGCUCAACCCAGGAACUGCGUCCGAUACUGGAAGGCUUGAAUCCGGGAGAGGGAUGCGGAAUUCCAGGUGUAGCGGUGAAAUGCGUAGAUAUCUGGAGGAACACCGGUGGCGAAGGUGGCAUCCUGGACCGGUAUUGACGCUGAGGCGCGAAAGCCAGGGGAGCAAACGGG